rnacentral:rRNA from 1 species
AUUGAACGCUGGCGGCAGGCCUAACACAUGCAAGUCGAGCGGAUGAGAGAAGCUUGCUUCUCGAUUCAGCGGCGGACGGGUGAGUAAUGCCUAGGAAUCUGCCUAGUAGUGGGGGACAACGUUUCGAAAGGAACGCUAAUACCGCAUACGUCCGACGGGAGAAAGUGGGGGAUCUUCGGACCUCACGCUAUUAGAUGAGCCUAGGUCGGAUUAGCUGGUUGGUAGGGUAAAGGCCUACCAAGGCGACGAUCCGUAACUGGUCUGAGAGGAUGAUCAGUCACACUGGAACUGAGACACGGUUCAGACUCCUACGGGAGGCAGCAGUGGGGAAUAUUGGACAAUGGGCGAAAGCCUGAUCCAGCUAUGCCGCGUGUGUGAAGAAGGUCUUCGGAUUGUAAAGCACUUUAAGUUGGGAGGAAGGGCAUUAACCUAAUACGUUAGUGUUUUGACGUUACCGACAGAAUAAGCACCGGCUAACUUCGUGCCAGCCGCCGCCGUAAUAC